rnacentral:misc_RNA from 1 species
UAAGGAGUGUCCGAGCGGUAAUCGGAAUCACUGUGCGUAAAGCGCGCGUAGGUGGUUGAGUCAGUCACAUGUGAAAGCCCCGGGCUUAACCUGGGAACUGCACCUGAUACUGCUUGACUAGAGUACGGUAGAGGGCAGUGGAAUUUCCUGUGUAGCGGUGAAAUGCGUAGAUAUAGGAAGGAACACCAGUGGCGAAGGCGACUGCCUGGACUGAUACUGACACUGAGGUGCGAAAGCGUGGGUAGCAAACAGG